UACGUAGGGUGCAAGCGUUGUCCGGAAUUAUUGGGCGUAAAGAGCUCGUAGGCGGUCUGUCACGUCGGCUGUGAAAACCCGAGGCUCAACCUCGGGCCUGCAGUCGAUACGGGCAGACUAGAGUUCGGUAGGGGAGACUGGAAUUCCUGGUGUAGCGGUGAAAUGCGCAGAUAUCAGGAGGAACACCGGUGGCGAAGGCGGGUCUCUGGGCCGUAACUGACGCUGAGGAGCGAAAGCAUGGGGAGCGAACAGG
rnacentral:rRNA from 1 species